rnacentral:rRNA from 1 species
UACGUAGGAGGCAAGCGUUGUCCGGAAUUACUGGGCGUAAAGCGCGUGUAGGUGGUGGGGCAAGUCUGCUGUGAAAGCGCCCGGCUCAACUGGGCGGGGUCGGCGGAUACGGCGUGGCUGGAGCAAGCUAGGGGGCAAUGGAAUUCCCGGUGUAGUGGUGGAAUGCGUAGAUAUCGGGAGGAACACCAGUGGCGAAGGCGGUUGCCUGGAGCUUUGCUGACGCUGAGGCGCGAAAGCGUGGGGAGCGAUCCGG